rnacentral:rRNA from 1 species
UUGUACAGGAUAGGUAGGAGCCUUUGAAACGUGAGCGCUAGCUUACGUGGAGGCGUUGGUGGGAUACUACCCUAGCUGUGUUGGCUUUCUAACCCGCACCACUUAUCGUGGUGGGAGACAGUGUCAGGCGGGCAGUUUGACUGGGGCGGUCGCCUCCUAAAAGGUAACGGAGGCGCUCAAAGGUUCCCUCAGAAUGGUUGGAAAUCAUUCAUAGAGU